CCCCCAGUGUUCCUCGCGCCCGCCUGCGCCUUGUUCUGAAGCUAAGCUAGCUAGGUAAUCACCUCGAGACGGACGGUGGAUUUUUGUGGAGUAGUGACAAGAAAAUGGCGGAGUGAGUGGGUUGCGCUUUGAAGGAAAGCAGCGACCCUAGGUUUCCGUAAAAUAUAAUACGAACAAAGGAGAAUCACAUAAAAGCUGUAACUUUCAUCGAAAAUUUGACAAACAAGAACAAUAUUGCCCCUCGCGGAGGUGGUACAAACAGAUUAUCGAACGGUGCUUCGCAGUACCACUGGUGUCAUUUCGAUAGCUCGAAGCUAGCGGGCUAGCGACGAGGCACUGGGCGACGGACAAACACGGCACAGUAGAAGUGUUUUCAGAAUAAUUGUUUGGCCUUUUUCGUGAUAUGUGUUGGGUUUAUUUUGUAUGUUUUUUUUACUAGCUAGCUAGUGAAUAACGCAUGAGAAUAAACGAAGUCUGUCCUAGUUCGUUAACAUUACAUUGUUUCAAGUACAUAGCACACGACCAACCAGGAUUGUAUGUUCACGAUAUGUUCUGAUAACGAGCUGGCCAAGUAGGGGAACCGACGGAGCAGUCCCAGAGAAAACUAUUUUAAACUGAUUGGGGUUGCUCGUGAUUUUGAGGAUAUGGCAAGCAGCAGCGGCUCAAAAGCCGAAUUCAUUGUCGGUGGAAAAUACAAACUUGUCAGAAAAAUUGGAUCUGGAUCAUUUGGUGAUAUAUACCUGGCGAUCAACAUCACAAAUGGAGAGGAGGUAGCUGUAAAAUUGGAAUCUCAGAAAGCCAGACACCCACAGUUGUUAUAUGAAAGCAAGCUGUACAAAAUAUUACAAGGAGGAGUUGGAAUCCCACACAUAAGGUGGUAUGGCCAAGAAAAGGACUACAAUGUCCUAGUGAUGGACCUGCUGGGACCUAGUCUGGAAGACCUCUUCAACUUCUGCUCGCGCAGGUUCACGAUGAAAACUGUACUAAUGCUCGCAGACCAGAUGAUCAGCAGAAUCGAGUAUGUGCACACAAAGAACUUCAUUCACAGAGAUAUCAAGCCAGACAACUUUUUAAUGGGUAUUGGCCGUCACUGUAACAAGUGUUUGGAAUCUCCAGUGGGGAAGAGGAAAAGAAGCUUGGCUGUUAGUUCUUCUCAGGACCCAUCUUUCUCAGGAUUAAACCAGUUGUUCCUCAUCGACUUUGGUCUGGCCAAAAAAUACCGGGACAACAGGACACGACAGCACAUACCCUACCGAGAAGACAAGAAUCUCACCGGCACAGCACGCUAUGCCAGCAUCAACGCGCACCUGGGCAUCGAGCAGAGUCGCCGAGAUGACAUGGAGUCGCUAGGCUACGUCCUGAUGUACUUCAACAGAACCAGCCUGCCCUGGCAGGGUCUAAAGGUAGGCCAGGCUGCCACAAAGAAACAGAAGUACGAGAAGAUUAGCGAGAAGAAGAUGUCCACUCCAGUCGAGGUGUUGUGUAAGGGUUUCCCAGCAGAGUUCGCCAUGUACCUGAACUACUGUCGUGGGCUGCGGUUCGAGGAGGCGCCUGACUACAUGUACCUGCGUCAGCUGUUCCGCAUUCUCUUCAGGACUUUGAACCACCAGUACGACUACACGUUUGACUGGACGAUGCUGAAGCAGAAAGCAGCCCAGCAGGCUGCGUCCUCAGGGGGACAGGGGCAACCGGCACAAACUCCCUCAGUCUCUCCCCUCCCUCUCGUAGAGGGUAUCCCGGGUGCCCAGGGUUGAUGGCAGAAGAGUCAACCCAAUUUUUCAAAAAACCUGAAGCAGUUUUCAUCAGGCUUCUGAGCAGUAAGACAAUGAAAGGAAGCAGAGCAGAGUGGCCGUAGCAGGAUUUGCCUUCCAAUCAUACCCCGGCAUCCAGGAUCAAAUUCACCAGAACCUGCCAGGCAUUGUGGGCAACCCUUUUUUCCUGUUAAAGAACUUUCCUUCCAUAUACUAUAUAUGUAAUCGCUCUAUAUAGAUAACAUGCUCUGCAUAUAUCUAUAUAUUGUUAUGUAUAUACUAUAUCCACACCGAAAGCAGGCUUGGUAUGGAAUUUUCCGAAGCUGUAGCCUUCUCUAUUGUCCUGCCCCUGAAGAUUUUUUGUUUCUUCAAAACGGAAAACUAAGAAAUGGUUGGCUCACUGCGGAUGUUUGUGCACCUGCCAAUACUUUCCCCUUGAUACUUUCUCCCUCUGAGAGCUGCUGUUUGGGUGCCUCCCUCACCUCAUGGCUGCCUGUCAGAGCAGCUUUGCCCCCAUUCCCUCUGUCACCGAGUGUGGCAUGAUGACCCAGACACACGUCAGUCAGAUUGAACAUUUGAAACAACCAUUUUCUCUUCCUUAUUCAACUUUUUUCCCUCAUCCUCAAGCAAAAUGAAAGAUGUAAUCUGAAACUUUUUCCUUUGUUAUGAAUGAAUCCUGGGUAUUUACUAAGCAAACAUUGGAUUUAUUUUGUUUUCAUAAAAAAGGUAAUUAAGAUUCUGCCUGCAGAUAUGUGCUAGAAGAGCUUCUAAUGUGAAGAUGAAAACACUAGGUUUCUCUUUAGAACGCUGUAUUAAUAUUGUACUUCUGAAGUCUCAAACAACGAAUAAAAAAUAUGAACUCCACAAAAGCAUAUUCAUUAUAAAUUAGGCACCACUUGACUAAACCUGUUUGUAAAUUGCUUAGAAAAAAUUAUGCAUCAAUGAAUUUAUUUUGAAAAUGUUUUUGUUUCAUGUAAUUGCUAUUAUGGAUGGCCUCAAUGUUCCGUUUUUUGAGACAGACAAACGUGCUCACUCCACCCGCCCUUCCUGUUAUAAUUUAUAUAUAUAUAUAUAUAUACACACUUUUUUAUCAGAACGUUUUUUUCAGUUUUAUAGUUGUCUUUCCCUGUAUUGAAUUGAUAAUUUUGGGGAAAGGGUGUUUUUGUUACUUUCUAAGGGGAAGCAGAUCCUGUUGUAAAAUACUCUGGGUCUUUCUCUCUGCAACUACAUAUUGCUGCUGCUUAGAGUAGCAACCGUUUCCUAAUUUUCAUUUUUUUAUUGCGAAGAAAGUGUUGGAGGGUUUCUUUUUUUUAUAUACUUUGAGUCUUGUAAGGCAAGAACCAUUUGGAUUUCAGUCAGCCUGUAAUCACAACAGAUGCACACCAGGGGCUGUUUGUCCCGUCCCCCACACAUUAUUCCCCCUGACCCAGCAUUAGCUAUUUUACAGCUGGACGUUCUAUAAAAGUGUAAUUUAUUCCCUUUUAGCAUGUCAGAAUAAAUUCAAAUGACUUGUCAGCACCACUGUCCCAGUCUGUAAUUUGAAGAACACACGGACUUCUGCCUUAUGCCUGGAUGAUGAUGGCUGUUGAAGAAGAAAAAAUAAGCAUUUUUUGCUUUCCAUUUGCUUGUCUUUACACAUUUACCUGUUGACUACCACACAACCUUAGUAUUGUAAGCAUUUGGAAACUGGAGACAUCGGCAGGAUUGGGGAUAGAUAAGGAAAGACUUUUGUUCAAAGAUUGCAGACUCCGAUUGCUCUAGACAAAGGGACACAUUUGUGGAAAUGGUCUAAAAAGGUAUUGCUGUAAUCUAGAAAAAGCAGUUCCUGGUAAAUGAUGUUGUUGGGUUGGUGGGUAGUUGUAGGUGCUUGUGGUGGUGUUUUGAAAAAAAUCUUACAGGAUUUAUAUCUGUAAAUAUUAAAAUGGCUUCAAAUGGC